CGACAUUACGUACCUUUGAAUAAUGUUUACCAUUUGUUGAUAAUUUUCUUGUGGUUUUCUCAUUCAGUCAAAGAUUAUCAACUGGUUCUUAGGAAUUUCAAUGACCAUGAGUAUCCAGUUAAAGCUGUUUACACACAUAUAUAUAGUCAGGCCUAUAUAUAACUAUAUAAAACUUGUCUCGAGUAAUAAUAAGUAAAAUAAAAUAUGCAUGCACUUAAUAACUAUAUAACUCACUCGAAGUUGAAGGGGAAGAGUAUUUUUUAUUUUUCUUUUUGGUUCACAAAGAACCUCAUAAGAUUGGUGCAGACUUCUGUCUCAUGAGCUGCUGUCCACACUGCCUGCGGAGCCUUGAAAAUAAUAUAAGGGUCAACGAACUCAAUACUAUUGUCAUUUCUGAUUCUGAGCUCUCUCAUUUGGUGCCUGCAUAUAUACAUACAAAUCUUAAGUGUGUAAGGAUUAUAUACAUGUAAUUAAAGAAGUUGGAAGUAUAAUAAAAAGAAAGAAAUACUUACAGACAAAAGCAGCUGACAAGAGAUUUGUCGAGAGCGUCGAGGUGACAUAAUUGGUGCAAUUCUUCUAACUGCACGUAUAUGAGGUCAUCUCCACGGAAGUAGUGAUGUUGUCUAAUACGAACAGAAAUCCAAUUUUCUCUCCUUUUAGACGCCUCAAUGCACCAU
rnacentral:lncRNA from 1 species